rnacentral:rRNA from 1 species
AGUGGGUGGUCGUCGUUGGGAUUGUACGCGAGUUGCCGGCAAGCUGCGUCGAGGAGAGCAUUUGGACCCUGUGCGAGACGAGUCCCUUCGGCGAGGGGCAAUCGCAACGAUUGCGACCCCAGGUCAGGC